CAGAUUUUAGUUUACUUAGAAUAAUGGUUUUGGGGACCUUUGGCCCCUUGGGAUGUCUGG
rnacentral:tRNA from 1 species